UGUUUGUAGAAAUGCUCACAUCUGCAGAACCUCUCACAAAGCAGGUGGCUGUCUAUAGUACUAAAGGUGGGAUAUUGGCGGAUAUAACCGUUACAGAUGUUCUUCGUUCUUCGCUGAAAUAGAAAGGACACGUUAUGGCUUUGCUUUACAUGCAUUUUUUUUAUAUGUGGACUGUUCUGAGAUUUUUGGUCAAAACGGGGUGUAGGACAGCAUUGACUUAUUUAUAUUUUCAGAAAGCUCCAUGUAUGGUGAACACGGUAAAAAUUAACAUUUUCUGCAACUUCAUUGCGAGCAUGAUGUCUACCUAUUGUUUUCCUGUACUAUGAUACAAGUUUGGUGCACGGCCAUCUCAAGCGACAACGAGAUCGUGGUUUCCGGUUACGCUGAGGGCAUGAUCCGCCUCUGGCGCGUGAAGAACGGCACGGAGAUAAGCGUGUUCAACUGCGGCGUGGACAUCUUGUACGUCACCAUGUCACGUG